rnacentral:rRNA from 1 species
AGAAUCAACGCUGGCGGCGUGCCUAACACAUGCAAGUCGAACGAGAAAGUGGAGCAAUCCAUGAGUAAAGUGGCGCACGGGUGAGUAACACGUGACUAACCUACCCUUGAGUGGGGGAUAACCUAGAGAAAUCUGGGCUAAUACCGCAUAAUACCUUCGGGUCAAAGGAGCAAUUCGCUUAAGGAGGGGGUCGCGGCCGAUUAGUUAGUUGGCGGGGUAAUGGCCCACCAAGACUGUGAUCGGUAUCCGGCCUGAGAGGGCGCACGGACACACUGGAACUGAAACACGGUCCAGACUCCUACGGGAGGCAGCAGUGGGAAUUUGCGCAAUGGGGGAAACCCUGACGCAGCAACGCCGCGUGGAGGAUGAAGCCCCUUGGGGCGUAAACUCCUUUCGAUCGGGAAGAUAAUGACGGUACCGAGAGAAGAAGCCCCGGCUAACUUCGCGCCAGCAGCCGC